UACAGAGGUCUCAAGCGUUGUUCGGAAUUACUGGGCGUAAAGGGCUCGUAGGCGGCCAACUAAGUCAGACGUGAAAUCCCUCGGCUUAACCGGGGAACUGCGUCUGAUACUGGAUGGCUUGAGAUUGGGAGAGGGAUGCGGAAUUCCAGGUGUAGCGGUGAAAUGCGUAGAUAUCUGGAGGAACACCGGUGGCGAAGGCGGCAUCCUGGACCAACACUGACGCUGAGGAGCGAAAGCCAGGGGAGCAAACGGG
rnacentral:rRNA from 1 species